CCUACGGGAGGCAGCAGUGAGGAAUAUUGGUCAAUGGUCGGAAGACUGAACCAGCCAAGCCGCGUGAAGGAUGAAGGUACAGUGAAUCGUAAACUUCGUUUGUCAGGGAAUAAAGCCGGGGACGUGUACCCGGUUGAAUGUACCUUACGAAUAAGCAUCGGCUAACUCCGUGCCAGCAGCCGCGGUAAUACGGAGGAUCCGAGCGUUAUCCGGAUUUGUUGGGUUUAAAGGGUGCGUAGGCGGGCGGAUAAGUUAGAGGUGAAAUGCCGAGGCUCAACCUCGGAAUUGCCUCUGAUACUGUUCGGCGAGAGAGUAGUUGCGGUAGGCGGAAUGUAUGGUGUAGCGGUGAAAUGCUUAGAGAUCAUACAGAACACCGAUUGCGAAGGCAGCUUACCAAGCUACAUCUGACGUUGAGGCACGAAAGCGUGGGGAGCAAACAGGAUUAGAUACCCGAGUAGUC
rnacentral:rRNA from 1 species